UGAGGAAUAUUGCACAAUGGGGAAACCCGUGAUGCAGCAACGCCGCGUGGAGGAGUGACGCAUUUCGGUGUGUAAACUCCUUUUAUGAGUCAAGAAAAUGACGGUAGCUCAUGAAUAAGCACCGGCUAACUCCGUGCCAGCAGCCGCGGUAAUACGGAGGGUGCAAGCGUUACUCGGAAUCACUGGGCGUAAAGGACACGUAGGCGGGUUGGUAAGUCAGAUGUGAAAUCCUACAGCUUAACUGUAGAACUGCAUUUGAAACUACUGACCUAGAGUAUGGGAGGGGGAGAUGGAAUUAGUGGUGUAGGGGUAAAAUCCGUAGAUAUCACUAGGAAUACCCAAAGCGAAGGCGAUCUCCUGGAACAUUACUGACGCUAAGGUGUGAAAGCGUGGGGAGCAAACG
rnacentral:rRNA from 1 species